rnacentral:rRNA from 1 species
UACGUAGGGUGCAAGCGUUGUCCGGAAUUAUUGGGCGUAAAGAACUCGUAGGCGGUCUGUUGCGUCGGCUGUGAAAACCCGGGGCUCAACUCCGGGCCUGCAGCCGAUACGGGCAGACUAGAGUUCGGCAGGGGAGACUGGAAUUCCUGGUGUAGCGGUGAAAUGCGCAGAUAUCAGGAGGAACACCGGUGGCGAAGGCGGGUCUCUGGGCCGAUACUGACGCUGAGGAGCGAAAGCGUGGGGAGCGAACAGG